CUUCAGGGAGCCCAGCCACAGCGGCUCCCCGUUCUUCUUCUUGCGUCCGUAGGUGGCCAGCAGGGCCUGCGCCUC
rnacentral:antisense_RNA from 1 species